UCUUAAAUCACAAAAUUAGCAGCUCCCACAGUGUGUUCUGUUUAUCACACAACUACCAUUACUGCUUGUUCUCCCCUUUUAAGUAAUCUCUAGGCAGAGGAUCAGAGACCUAGGCUUGCUUCUAAAAUAUAUUUUCUCUUGACAAUUCAGUUGAUUAAAAUGUUUAAGAUCAGGUUUUAUUUAUUUGUUUACCUGAGAAAUAGAUCACUGUUUCUGGGGACUUUGAGACAUCUUCCAACAUCCCUGACUCUUAGUGGUUUUAAAAUAGAAAUGUUUAGUAAUCCUAUCUUAACAUUCACCUAUUUUAUUCUUCAAAAGGCCAGUUUCUUAUCCUCUGGACAUUUUCUAAAUGCCUGCUUAUAUGACUUUUUGCUGUAUUACCUUCUUGAUCUAAUAAACACUCCAAAAUGACUCCUA
rnacentral:lncRNA from 1 species